CUCAGAGCAGAACUCCGGGCCGAAUCCUGAUCCCUGCUUGUACUCCGCUCCUGGUUUUCCCAUCAGCCUCUGGGUCAUUUUUCCAACCAUGUAGUAAACAAGAUAAGCACGUGACACCCAGCUGCAUGGUGAUUGGUGUAGAGGAGCUGCGCACGAAGCCUCCUGUGUGUCUUUAGAGUCAGAACAAGACUCAAAGUCUGAGCUGGAGCCGAACCAGAACCAGAACCUUCGGGACCGGCAGGAACCUUCCUGACUCAAGAUCACAGGCUGCCGGAAACGCUGCUGCGCGGUGCUGUUGGGGGCGGAGCCUCGGCAGCCUGUGUGCGCGUGCUGGUUUGUGCGUGCGCGCCCCUCCCCCACGCACACACACGCAGCGCUCGUGAGCUACGUGCGGAGUGUGAGCAGCUGCCUUAAAGGAGCAUUCCGCCUUUUCUCUGCUGUUUCCUGGACCGGGACUGGUUUCGGUCCAAUCAGAACCAGCCAGUCUCCCUUUGAUCCUCAGAUAAAAACAGAAACUCUCAAAACCACGAAGCUCUAAGAGCAACAGCCUAAGAUGGAUCAGAACUGAGCGGUUCGGUUGAACGUUUCCUUCUGGUCCAUUUGGACCAGAAGAUUCCCAGUCGAACCUGUAGCUCCUAAACUCUGAGAUAAUAAAGGAGCCUGACUACAGACCGGACCAAAACCAGGACUGAAACCCAGAACCCGGACCUGGAGUCAGACCUGCAGCUGCGGAUGGACGUGCUCGCUGCCUCGACUUGCAGCUGACCUCUGGUUGACCUCUGACUCAUCAGGAAGUGGCUCACAGGCCAGCGCCGACCCGUUCUGCAGAGCUUGGUUGCAUCACUGCGCCUGAAGCUGAUCCAGAACCAGAACCAGAACCUGUUGGAAGUAGUGAGAGCUGAGUUCCUGUUCCUGCAGCGCCCCCUUCUGGAUGGACAUGCAGAAAUCAGCUGAUCAGAACCGGUUUGGGUCGGAACACAACGG